UACGUAGGGUGCGAGCGUUACUCGGAAUUACUGGGCGUAAAGCGUGCGCAGGCGGUUAUCCAAGUCCGUUGUGAAAGCCCCGGGCUCAACCUGGGAAUGGCAGUGGAAACUAGGGGACUGGAAUCUGGCAGAGGGGGGUGGAAUGCCGCGUGUAGCAGUGAAAUGCGUAGAGAUGCGGCGGAACACCGAUGGCGAAGGCAGCCCCCUGGGCUGAGAUUGACGCUCAGGCACGAAAGCGUGGGGAGCAAACAGG
rnacentral:rRNA from 1 species